UGCCUAGGACGUGUCGCUCCCUGAUUGGC
rnacentral:piRNA from 1 species